GCUCAACCGAGGAAGUGCUUCGAAAACUGGUAAACUUGAGUGCAGAAGAGGAAAGUGGAACUCCAUGUGUAGCGGUGGAAUGCGUAGAUAUAUGGAAGAACACCAGUGGCGAAGGCGGCUUUCUGGUCUGUAACUGACGCUGAGACUCGAAAGCAUGGGUAGCAAACAGGAUUAGAUACCCUGGUAGUCCAUGCCGUAAACGAUGAGUGCUAAGUGUUGGAGGGUUUCCGCCCUUCAGUGCUGCAGCUAACGCAUUAAGCACUCCGCCUGGGGAGUACGAUCGCAAGAUUGAAACUCAAAGGAAUUGACGGGGGCCCGCACAAGCGGUGGAGCAUGUGGUUUAAUUCGAAGCAACGCGAAGAACCUUACCAGGUCUUGACAUACCAUGAAAAGCUAAGAGAUUAGUCUUUCCCUUCGGGGACAUGGAUACAGGUGGUGCAUGGUUGUCGUCAGCUCGUGUCGUGAGAUGUUGGGUUAAGUCCCGCAACGAGCGCAACCCUUAUUAUCAGUUGCCAGCAUUCAGUUGGGCACUCUGGUGAGACUGCCGGUGACAAACCGGAGGAAGGUGGGGACGACGUCAAAUCAUCAUGCCCCUUAUGACCUGGGCUACACACGUGCUACAAUGGUCGGUACAACG
rnacentral:rRNA from 1 species